CGAAGCGUGCGAUUGGAUUGCACGUCUAAGCAGUAAGGCUGAGUAUUAGGCAAAUCCGGUACUCAUUAAGGCUGAGCUGUGAUGGGGAGAAGACAUUGUGUCUUCGAGUCGUUGAUUUCACACUGCCGAGAAAAGCCUCUAGAUAGAAAAUAGGUGCCCGUACCGCAAACCGACACAGGUAGUCAAGAUGAGAAUUCUAAGGUGAGCGAGCGAACUCUCGUUAAGGAACUCGGCAAAAUGACCCCGUAACUUCGGGAGAAGGGGUGCUCUUUAGGGUUAACGCCCAGAAGAGCCGCAGUGAAUAGGCCCAAGCGACUGUUUAUCAAAAACACAGGUCUCUGCUAAACCGUAAGGUGAUGUAUAGGGGCUGACGCCUGCCCGGUGCUGGAAGGUUAAGAGGAGUGGUUAGCUUCUGCGAAGCUACGAAUCGAAGCCCCAGUAAACGGCGGCCGUAACUAUAACGGUCCUAAGGUAGCGAAAUUCCUUGUCGGGUAAGUUCCGACCCGCACGAAAGGCGUAACGAUUUGGGCACUGUCUCAACGAGAGACUCGGUGAAAUCAUAGUACCUGUGAAGAUGCAGGUUACCCGCGACAGGACGGAAAGACCCCGUGGAGCUUUACUGUAGCCUGAUAUUGAAAUUCGGCACAGCUUGUACAGGAUAGGUAGGAGCCUUUGAAACGUGAGCGCUAGCUUACGUGGAGGCGCUGGUGGGAUACUACCCUAGCUGUGUUGGCUUUCUAACCCGCACCACUUAUC
rnacentral:rRNA from 1 species